rnacentral:sRNA from 1 species
CACGCCGGCCAAAACUUCUUUAUAUUUUAUAACACUGGCUCAUUCAGAAGUAUAUAUGAAAGUUUGUCUUGGAUGUUGCCCAGGUUUGAUUAUCAUUUAAAAAUACUUUAUGAAGAAAAAAAAUUGAUAAAGAAAAUGAUUAACUUUGUCUUUGCUUCGUAGUCUGAUGACCGCGAUUCCAAGCGGGAUUCCCUUGAGGAGGGGGAGCUGAGAGACCACCGCAUGGAGAUCACCAUAAGGAACUCCCCGUACAGAAGAGAAGACUCCAUGGAAGACAG